rnacentral:rRNA from 1 species
GAUGAACGCUGGCGGCGUGCCUAAUACAUGCAAGUCGAGCGAACAGAUAAGGAGCUUGCUCCUUUGACGUUAGCGGCGGACGGGUGAGUAACACGUGGGUAACCUACCUAUAAGACAGGGAUAACUUCGGGAAACCGGAGCUAAUACCGGAUAACAUUUGGAACCGCAUGGUUCUAAAGUGAAAGAUGGUUUUGCUAUCACUUAUAGAUGGACCCGCGCCGUAUUAGCUAGUUGGUAAGGUAACGGCUUACCAAGGCGACGAUACGUAGCCGACCUGAGAGGAUGAUCAGCCACACUGGAACUGAGACACGGUCCAGACUCCUACGGGAGGCAGCAGUAGGGAAUCUUCCGCAAUGGGCGAAAGCCUGACGGAGCAACGCCGCGUGAGUGAUGAAGGGUUUCGGCUCGUAAAACUCUGUUAUUAGGGAAGAACAAACGUGUAAGUAACUGGGCACGUCUUGACGGUACCUAAUCAGAAAGCCACGGCUAACUACGUG